GCCAAGGAGUCUCUGCUCCUUCUUUUGGGGCUCUUAAGGCUUUGUGUCCGCCCCAACCCUUGUUGGUUCUCACCCAUCCUGGGCAGCAGGCAUUCAGGAGGAUCUUGUCCCCUUCUCUCUGCUCACUCAGUUUCCUGGCGUGGAUUCUGGACAGGACUGUGACUCCGAUUUUCAACACUCCAUAUGCGGUAUCGGGCCAGCCCUCCUUCCUGUGCACCCCGUUCUUUGUGUCUUCCACAAACUUGUUCAUGAGCCCCACCAGCUCCUCCUCCGUGAUGGUCUCACUUUGAAACUUCUGCUGCAGUUCAGGGCUGCAUUUCUUUAGAGAGUUGACACUGACAAAGCUGGAUACAUUCACCACUCUGCCUAAAAUAGAGCACAAAUCAGUACAUAGAAAGGCGAGCACGAGAAGGAUGAUACCCAAUUGGGGACAGGACUGACCUCUUGAAAGAGGACAUUAGGGAAGGAAGGGAAUGUAUUUUGGGAGGGGGUUCCUCAAUGAGUUUUAUCUUUUUUAUUAUUAUAAGUAACAACAUGUUACUUCUAAUGUUUUUAAAAAUUAAGCUACAUCUAAUUAUUUUAGAAAUUACCAGAAUGAACUAUUUCACUCAAACUCAAUAAAGAAGUCAUGACCAGAGGAAGAAGUCUGUGAACCUAUUACCCAGCAUGACUUGUGAAAAGUAUUUUCAAAACUGAACUAUUUAAAAUCUCUGGAAAUGGUCCUGAGUGUGUGCAGCAAAUGAAGAAACAUUUUUUUCCAGACUAUCUCCAAAAACUCAGGUGAGAACAGAAAGAAUCUAUUUCAACCAUGACUGCUCCUUCCUUUCCUCCUUUCUGACCGUAGCAAUGGAAACUUCACUCUGGGAUGGUGCAUCUGAGACGCAGGACUCCCUCCCUGCCAAGGGGCUGUGGCAUCUUCCCACCAUGCGGAUGACAUCACAUUUCUCAUCCUGUUCCUCAGCUACCUGCUGCAGAGGUUCAGUUCCUGCACUUCAUGUACAUGGCUGAAAUAUCAGAGAGGAAACGCUUCCACAACCAGAAGAGGCAGAAAAUGCUUUCCAAGAGUUCACUGAAUCCUGAAGCAUGGAAUUAUGCUACAGGAAUGAACAAACUUAUUUCCCAUUGGCAGAAACGUAUUGAUUGUAGCGGUUCCUAUUUUGAUGAAUAAAGAUGUGUUUGAACCUGUCAACUAAAAAA